GGUGAACGCUGGCGGCAUGCCUAAUACAUGCAAGUCGAGCGGACAGACAGUGAGCUUUCUCCUCUGCCGGUAGCGGCUGACGGGCGGGUGACGCAUAGAUCGCAUUCCUAUAAUACUUGGGUAACUACGGGGGGCCGGAGCCACUACCACCGCAUAUAUCGUACGGCAUAAAUCAAUGGUGAAUCACACCUUUGCUGUCACUUAUAGCUGUAUCCGCACCGCAUAAGCUAGUUGGUAAGGUAACGGCUAACCAAGGAGACGAUGCGUAGCUGACCUGAGAGGAUGAUCGGCCACACUGGAACUGAGACACGGUCCAGACUCCUACGGGAGGCAGCAGUAGCGAAUCUUCCGCAAUGGGCGAAAGCCUGACCCAGCCAAACAGCGUGAGUGAAGAAGGCCUUCGGAUCGUAAAGCUCUUUUAUUAGGGAAGAAAAACUGUCGACGUAAAACUGGAUGUUUUGACGGUACCUAAACAAAAAGCCACGGCUAACUUCGUG
rnacentral:rRNA from 1 species